AGCUUGCAUGCUACAAGUCUGUCAACAAUGGAAGACAAGGCAGAAAUUGAAGCAGAGACCAUGCAGGAGUGUUGCUUCCUGGCUUGCUGCCCAUGCCUUCCUCAGCCUGCUUUCUUAUAGAACUUAGGACCACUUGCCCCAGGAUGCUGCUGACACAGUGGGCUGGGUCCUCCCACAUUAAUCAGUACUCAAGAAAAUGUUCCACAGACAUGUCCACAGGGCAAUCUGUUGGAAGUAUCGAGAAUUCGCCUUACCAUGUGUGUCUAAGCUCGUGUGGAGCUGUGAAGUCUGUGGCAUUCACUAUCAAAGCCUGAUUAGCUCCCAAAAAAGAAUAGAGCUCUACCAUUCAUCACGACUUGCUUCCUAUAUUCCUGUAUCAGGAGACAAUAAACCCCCCCAAAUAGGCAAGGAAGUUCACAUUUAUAUCUGAAGCGGUCAGAAGCGAAUGUCCAUCUUGGAUUUAAAGUUUAACACAUGAUAGGCUAUCUCACUGUGUCCCUAAACGAGUAAAGCUCCUCACUCAAGAUUAAUAUGACAGAUAUACGUUCACCCAUGUCAAACAUUAUAGUUGUUUUAUUUUCAUUAACAUUUCCAUAGAUCACCUUAAAUGUCACUUAUCUAACUGACAAAAAUAACACCAAGAAAAUGAAUUACAGAGAGACGGAGGAGUUUUAACUGGGAGAAACCAAGUGUGCUCUUGUCAGGACGCUAAACGGCAGGGAAAGGCUCAGCACCAAAACCUCCCCAGAGAGCUUGGACCCUUUGCAGUUAGUUCUCUGGCUCCUUUUCUGCCUCAGAUAUACUUUCUCAAACAUUCAGGUAUGGGGCUGUCUGAUCUGUGGUGUACCCCCCUUUAAUUUUUAGUGAUAAAUGAACAACUCUCUGGGUUUUGAACUUUAGCAUCAAUAAAAUCCUGCUGAAAAUCAUCUUCCCUUCUUUCUUUACAUCAGCAGGAAUUGUCAACCGCAGCCGAGGGCUUGGCAGGCUGCCUGUGGGCGUCUGAUGGACUGUACUAAUGACUCAUUAGGCUCCCAAGUAACACCUGUUAUUAGCAUGCUAGAGCCGACCAAGGGUUGAGUCUGGAGACAGGCUGUGGGGCUGGCUUCAGUCCUGCUGUUUGACAGGCAUCUGUAGAAACCUCCACGGAGAAGGCAUAUGUACAUCUGGAAAUUCUGUUUCACCUGGCUUGGUAACUUAGGUGGUUGACAUAAGAGCUAUCCAGAGCUUAGACCAAUGGAUUCCUAUUUAAAACUUCCAAAGACCCAGACACAUGUCUUUUAUGUGCACCGAGCAGGUAAAUCUAAUUGUUUAUGUCUAGCUUUUGCCCCACCAUAAUGGAAUGAUCCCAGAGAUGUGUCUCGUAGCUUUAGUAGUUAAAUGAUGAUGGAUGAAUGGAAACAUGUCGUGUGUUCGUUAAGCAGGAAAUAUUCAAUGCGGGGUGGGGCUGAGCACUGACCCGGUAAUUGAAGUCAUUCAGCGUCCUCUUAACUCCUGUCGAUCACGCUGCAAUGAUGAAUUGGGGUGUGCAAUUAAUGUUCAGGGCUCUCUCUGCAUUUAGCAGCAUCAAGAUCACCUUCAGGGAUAGUAAACUUUUCAGUGGAAAGCUGUGAUCUGUGAGAAGAUCCCAUAGGUGACUGCUACAUUUACCAUGUAAGUUAUAGGGCCAGAUGGUCAGGGACUUCUGCACAAUCGCAAACACUAGCUUUCUUCUAGAAGGAGAUCAGGUCUCAUUGAGUUUUCUCCAAUUUAUACCUAUUGCCAAUAUAUUAAAAUAGGAGGGGACUGUGGAUGUGUCUCAUUGAUAAGGUGUGUUGUAUAAGUGUAAGACCCCAAGCACAAUUCCCAUCACCAUAAAAAGAGUAAAAUAAAAAUACACAAAUAUGUGGAGAUAGGUAGAUAGAUAGACAGAUAGACAGACAGAUCUUAAAGUUAUCCUGAGCAAACUUUCAGCCACACUCUAAGCACUGUAGAACCACAAAUUAAAUUUUGUUCAGAAGUAAGCCAGAACAGGAAAAGACCAGGAUUAUAGAAGUUUGAAUAGUUUUCUUACAGGAUGCUCAUUCACUGGGGUGGAGUUUGGGAGAACACCAAGAGGCAGGAGAAACUGUUUUCUGUCUCCAUCUAUGGGGCAGUGUCAUUUUAUUGACCUUCCCUGGGAAGUGUGUGAACUGUAUAAAUACAAAGUUAAUCACUCACACCUAAGAUUUAUAGUUUUUGACACAUAUAAAUUUUGUCUUAGUAACUUACUUCUAAUGUCCUUUAUUGAGUCUAUAAUUCACUAUUUAUAUUUAUUAAAAUAUGAAUGAUAACUUAUAUUUGCAUAUUUCCUAACAAAAAGUCCUUGUGGUUUAAGAUUAAGUAUUUCUUUUAACACUUAUCAUAAAUUUAAAGUUGGGUAAGUUACUGAUAGAUGAUUGAUAGCAUUACAUGUAAAUAUCAUUUCAGGAAUGUUGGCCUUCAUUUUAAAUUAAAGUUUCAUGAUUUUACCUAGUUUGCUUAAAACUACAUAAUUAUUAAAUAACACUAGGAAGUUUUUGACCCAGGUCUCUUUCUAAGUAAUAUAUUUUUCAACAUGGUGAAAUUAAGUAUCUUUUGGAACAAACACCAUUAAAUUUGUGUUUAGUAAUUAAUUAAUCUGUUCUCUUAAUGAGUAGAAAAUCGUGGCCAUCUUUUCAUACUAAAUUGAUUAAAGCCUUUUUUCUCCCUAAUAGUAUAUUAUGACUAAGUAUACAAACCACUUAAUGUAGCUUCUGUGACCUUGGACGCUUGGCUUCUUGCUAAAAAGGAAGUGACAGUUAUCUCUAAAUUCUAUGUUCAGUUUAGAAAAUUAAAUGUAUGGAGGUCUUGGACAAGAAAUACAUAUAUAAUUUAGAGGACCACCGGGAAGAAAAAAAGCCAGACUUCUCGAAGUAUGGUAAAUACAUGUGAUAGAAUAUUAUGAUCCAGCCAUUGAAAGGAAUUAAGCUUUGUUGCUGCUGUAACGGGCUUGAUUUGAGCAGUAAAUGAUAUCAUCAGAGAGCCAAGUUUGCUCUGUUCUGCUCUGUUCAAAUCAGCCAUGACUUCCUAAUAAUGCCAGCUUCACCAGCACAUAACCUGCUUGGCAACAGUAGCUUGGCAACAAUCUGGAUCAUAAAGAGCGGAAGGGAGACGGGUUGUACCUUCUCAGACUUCUUUAAAAGGUAUAAUCUCCAGUGCUAUCUCAACCUUUCCUUCCUUGAACAGAUUAACCACCAAGAUAGUGAUUACCAGCAAGUGUUUCCAUAGGUAUCUAAAGGGCAUCAUGGUACCACUCUGCUAGUUAAUAAGUUUCAUCAAACUUCACCAUGAGUUGGAAAAGUCUGUAUCUGACAGAUAGGAAGCCCCAGCUCAUUCAAUCCUGGCAUCAGUAAAGAGGAAUCAACUGUCUCCUAAAAGAUUUUUGCGGUAGGACUCGCAGCUGGGAACAGAGUUUAGGGGAGAGCACGAGGGAGAUCUGCAUGGUUACCCUUAGCCACAGCAGUGCCACCACACUUCCAACGAGCAUCUAGAGAAGGAAAUUAUUCUCCUAAAUAUAAACGGUGUCUUAAUCUGA